UCCUUCUUUUAUACAUAGGCUAUUCUUUAUAGUUUUAUUGUUAAAAUAGUUUUUGGCAAUAACUGUUAAAAAAGAUAAAAAUCACAGAUCCGUUUCCAGUUUCCUGCUGAAUUGCAAAUCUGUUUGAAAGGAUACCAUAGCUUUUUACGCUGGCUAUAAAACAGUGAGGGGUGAUUCGAUUUUGACAAUUCUUGCCGACGGAUUUUAUGGUUGAUCUUAGUAGGCAGCAAUUUUCGUUUGUUGAUUGAGAUGUCAAGAUUUUUCACUGGAUACGCUUUGAAGCUACGAUGUAUUCGUACCAGAGGAUAACAAACCUAUUCGAUACUAAUGGAAAUCGGACCUGUUCAAUGCCAAACCAUUGCAAAAAUUGACGAAAAAUGUACAAAUGCUUUACUGUUCUCCAGAUCCACAUCGCACUUAGGUUUUGUUUUCUGGAACACGCAAGAUAAUUCCAUGUCAGAAUCACACCAGAAAUCCUUAGGAACUUCCAUCAGUAUUUCCCUCGAAAUCCGUAUCAGAACUCUACGAUCUGAAGUUUUCAGGAUUUCACCGGAAAUUCGCCACAGUAUAAUUAGAGCCUCCCUAGUACCCCCACAAGUAAUUCAUCUUGAGCGUCUUCAGGGAAACUUAUCAGAAUUACUUCCGACAGUCUACCAGAAGUUUUAUGGAACUCCGUCAUAAUUUCGUUAGAAAUUACUUCGCUGUCUCAACACAUUUCCACAUGGAAAUUCACCUGAAUUCCUUACAAAAUCUUGAUCGAAUCCCUAUCAGAGGUUUCGUAGUUUCAUCAUAGCUUGCCUCAGAAAAUUGCAAACAUAAAUACAAUUUGAACGAAAGGAGAAGCAUAGAAGUUGUUAAAUGCAUAGGAUAGAAUUUUCAUUCUCUCCCACGAGCCUGCUCAUUAGGCCGUCCCUUAUUUUGCAAAAUUUAGAAAUGUUAUAAGUUCGUUACUGGAAAAUGAUCGUUUUAGCUAAAAAACGAUCGUGUCAAAAUUUGAAGUCCGUAUCUCAAGGCUAAGUGGUCCCUCAAGGGGCCUAAAGUUGUCAAAAAUUGUAUGGGACAAAAAAAAACAUGAAAUUUUUUUCGACUAAAAAAUACGCUAUUCUACUAAAACCGGUGAUUUUAGGACCCCAAAGGGCCAAAAAUGUGCUUAGAUUUACGAUAUCUCUACUCGUUUCCAAGAUAUUGACAAAAAACAACUGAAAAAUCAG